GGACGGAGCCCUCCCACGCCAACCACCGCCUCCGUCCCCUCCCAACCAAAGAAUUACGAUCCUUUCCUCCCCCACCUUUCUGUAUUUAUUCCCACUGCCUGGAAAGGCGCAGCAAACUCUGCUUCACCCCGAGCCCUCGUUGGGGUUCAGAGGACGCGGGGACGCAUUCUGCCCUCCUCUCCUCCAUCCAAAUACCAUCCGUGGGGCUGCAGGGAGAGAAGCAGCCAUAAAUUGCCGGUAUUUACACAAGGAGCGGCUGCACGGGGCAGUAAUGCAUUUUGCACAGGGUUGGGGACGUCGGCACCGGUUGCUGUGACUGAGUGUCCCCAUCCCCACACGAGGAUGUCCCAGUAUAUCCCAGAGGUGCUCCCAUGGUGCAAGCCUGGAGGACCUCUGUUGGCCAAGACUGGGUUCCAUGUCCACAUGAAGAUUCCCCAUUACACCCCAGAGGUGUUCCCAUGGCAUCACAUGAGCCUGGAGGACCACUGUUGGCCAAGCCCAGCUUCCAUGUCCGUAGGAGGAUCUCCCACUGCACCCUACAGAUGUUCUUAUGGCACUGGGAGAGCCUGGAGGACCACUGUGGGCCAAAGCCAGGUUCCACGUCCACAUGAGGAUGUCCCAAAACAUCUUAGAGGCAUUCCCAUUGAGCCAUGUGAGCCUUGAGAAACCCCUGUUGGCCAAGGCCAGGUUCCACGUCCACAUGAGGAUGUCCCAGCACACCCUUGAGGUGCUCCCAUGGCAUCGUGUGAGCCCUGAGGGCCACUUUUGGCUCUGAGAUGGUCGCAGCGUGGUGAGAUGGCUCUGGGCUGGUUGAGUUUUGUUGGCUUUGUGGGACCCCAAGCAUCCACUUCAGGGGGACCUCGUCUUCUACUCAGCCAAAUGACUCCGGGUGCUGCAGGGCGAUGGCAAACGCAAGGAGACAUUCAACCACGGGCUGCCCUGACCCCAUUCCUGCUCCCCACGGGGGUGGGGACAAAAGAUUUGUGAUUUGUAACCCAUCAGGUCCCCAAAAAGCACUUUUCUGUCUCCCUCCGAGCUCCACACCGGAGACGCCGGGCUGCCCCUACCCCAAUUCCCUCCCACCGCAGACGUCGAUCCGCGCAGGCGAAUGGAAACACGGCGCUGGCGAGAGGCUCCCCUGCAGAGCAGUUCCUCAUCCCGACCUGCAACGCACACAAAGAGCAAUUCAGGUGGAGUUACCCCGAGGAGAUUUAUGGCGUCCAGGGAGGCGCACGCGAUCCGAUACCAAAGCAUGAAUCAAAGCAGGACAGCCGGGAUGUAUUUACAUCUGCGCCGCGCGCGCGCGCCGACGUCGCAAGGAGAACACAAAGUCAGUUGGCAAUGGAUGACUGCUGCGGGCUCUGGGGGUGGUGGGGGCACCUCUGAGCUUCGUGGGUGUAAAAGGGAAUGGGAAGGAUGAUGGUAAUCGAUGGGGUUGCGCUGCAUGGCUUCCCAAGGCCGAGCCAAGGGAUGUAUGUGUGAGGAAAUGGCGGGGGUUUCAUGGCUGGGGGGUAUAUCUGAGAGGAAAGCCCUUGGGUUUCAUGGCUGGGGAUGUAUUUGAGAGGAAAGCCCUUGGGUUUCAUGGCUGGGGGCAUGUUUUAGAAGAAAGCCCUUGGGUUUAGCAGUGGCUGUGGAUGGUGAAGCAUCCAUGCGUCCUCACAUCGGUUGGGUUGCGUGGGCACUCCGGUCCAACUCUGUUAUCCAACAUUUCAACCCAUACAAAGCCCAGUGGUGUCACCACGUGGUGCAGCACCAACCCCACUACCUGGGGUGGUGAUUUUGGGCCCCUUCUGCCAGGAAAUGGCUCACGCCGUGUGAAAACACCCAACCCAGAGCUGUGACAUGGUGUGGGACCUUUUGGUUCACCAUUGGGGCUUUCCGGAAAGACUCAUUCCAUGAUGGAUGAACUUUUAAUGGAGAGAAAUAGACAGCCCUGCUUUAAGUGCGGGGUUUAAGUGAAGCCAAUGAUUUAAACAACUUAAAGUCCAUUAAACAAAGGGAGAACUUGGAUCUCAUCAACUCAUUCAUUCUGAGAAGCGCCCGGCCUGGGAUAAACCUGACACUGAGGAGUCAUCUGAGCAUUGCUAAAACAUACGCUUGCCUUCGUAAUGAAAUGUUUUUAAGGGACCAUAAUGGUUACCGUGAGGGCGGUUUGCGUUAGAACCAUUUGAAUUCCCUCAGCUGAGAUCCUUCAAUAGGUGCCCAUCCACUAAUGGAAAGGAGACAUUUCGGAGACGUGAAGGAGUUGGAGACAUUUCGGCCCUAUUUGGAAGAGGUGGGGGCACAGGGAGCGGUGCCAGCCCCUUCCCCAUCUCCACACCCCCACAUUUUCCCCUCCUUUCGUCCCAGGUGGAAAUGGAUGGAAGCCAAACGUGCCAUAAGACGAAGUGUGCUGAUGGGAAGCGGAGCCCAUCGCCUCCAUCACUGACAAACAGGGAGAGGUGGGGUUGGUGGUCGCUGGUUUUCCACUCGCAGUGGUCCAUCAGGGUUACGGAUGCUCUGUGGGUAACAGAAAAUGGUCAUAAUACCCCCCCAGGUUCAGUGCUUUGGGGUUUCUCAGCAUGUUACCAGCGGGCACCAAUCAGGGUGGGGAGGACGAGAGCCUCAUUUCUCCCCAAGCAGAUAAAAUUUCUCCUCUUCCCAUCCACACAAACCCCAGCCAUAAAUCCUCAGGCUCGAGCAAAUGCAGGGCAGAAGUUUAAAGCAAACCUUACGAUUUUAAUGCCCGGGCUCAACGAAGCAUGGAAACAUUUGCUCAGCAUUAAGUGUGUGCUUAGCACCCCGCAGGAGCCCAGAGCUGCACACAGCAGUGCAGGAACUCCCUUCUUCCUCCCCAAUUCAUCCCCUGUAGGAGCAGAGCACGGAGGCAGCGAGCCAAGCGUCCGGCCAACGCUGCAGCAAGAUUUAUGGGAGGGGAAGGGACCCGCUUUCUUCCCUGUGAUUAAUAAGGAGAAGACAAGAAACCUCCUCAGAGCCCCAAUGGAGGCAUUUCCCUGGUUUGAUGGGGUCAACGAGAGCCGAAUUCCAGCCGAUGUAGAUAUAAUUUCAUCGGGGGGUUGGAGGGUCCCUUCCAUCCCUCCCACUGCUGCAAGAAGAGAACUGGAAGCGUCUCCUCCCUCCGUGCUGCUCCAGGGCUCGGUGACCCUGCAGCGAUGUUCGGUCCUGGCAGCGGCGUGGCAACGUUCCUGGGAGGAAAACAGAGGAAAUGGGGGUCUGGUGAGGAGGAGCCCCAGUGGGAAUGGUGGGGAGGGAGGAACUGUGCUGCGCAGCCCGUGCUUUGUGCAUGACGGCACUGGGGGCAGGGAUUUGCAGUGGGGUCAGGUUCCCAGCACGGGCUGCUUCCCAGGGCCUCGCUCUGCAUGGGGAGACGGAGGGGAACACUGAAUGCAUUCCUACAAACGCCUCCAAACUCCUCUCCCAUCCUGACCAGCUCUGCAAAACCCCACCCUGGGAUGCAAGGAUCCAAAAGCCAUCGGGACGUCGCAUUUACCGACGCCAUUCAUCUACACCCAUCCCCAGGACGGGCUGCAGGAGCCGCGCUGGUGGUCCCAGCCAUUAGCAGAGCCCUGAGGAUGAGCUCCCAGCCCUCUCCCCCAGCCCUGUCCUUGCACAUCAUCCGCCCUCACAUCACUGUUGGAUGUGGCACCGGAGCCCUCGGCGCGGGCCACAACUCAGGUUGGCAGCUGAGCAUCCUGGAGCGGGCCGAGCGCGGCCGGGAGCUGUAAUUCUUACCCUGCAUUCCCUGCCAGCUCUGCUCCCCGGUGGCACAUAGAUCACCCAGAGGUGUGGAUGGAGAGCAGGCGAUGUAAAUCACAUUAAACUCCACGCGUGGAGCUGCUCGUUCCGAACGCAGCCAGCCUUAAUUCGGUUUAGCUUUGCGAAUUAAGCUCAAGUGAAUUAAACCAACUCUAAUUCUGGCUAAGUGUCCAGAAUGGGGUUUUAUGUGCUCUGGCUAAUCCAUUUUAAAGGUUGAUUUGGGUUAACGUGAUGGAUGUCCCUUUGUGGGUACCUCUCGGUGCCGCCAGGCUCGCCUGGCCAGGAUUUAUGGUACGGCAGCAACCAGAGCCAUCCACCCCAUGACCUGCGCCAGCACCACGAGCUCCCUCAUUUCCCAGGGAGUGCUACAGAUGAGCUUCAACUGCUUUCCCAAAGGGCAGCGUCUGUUCAUUUUUUCUAGCAGACCAGUGUUGGGUUGAGUCCCGUGUUCCAUUCCAGUAUUGAAGGCAGCAUCCAUCCGAUCUUGCCAACCAAUACGCAUCGGGUUGAGUCAAACUGUUCCAUUGCGUUGUCGAAGGGCAGCAUCCAUCUGACCUUGCCAACCAGCCGGCAUUGGGUUGAGUCCCACUUUCCACUCCAGUAUCAAAGGGCAGAACCCAUCUGGUCUUGCCAGCCAAUCAGCAUUGGGUUGAGUCCCACUUUCCAUUCCAGUAUAGAAGGACGACGUCCCUUCUGGCUUUGCCAACCAAUUGGGUUGAGUCAAACUGCUCCAUUCCACCGUCACAGGGCAGCAGCCCUCCAGCUCUGCCAACAAACCACCCUUGGGUUGAGUCCAAUGAUCCAUUCCAAGAGAGGAGACACAUUUGGGGCACUGCUCUGAAGGUUCCUCUCUCCUCAGUGGGGGAUUCAUGGGGGGUUUGCAAUUAGCACCACAGCGUAGACCCGAAGGUGCUGAUUUCUCUCUUCAUUGAGUGCAGAGAAUUUGGGGCACGGAGCUCCUUAUUUAGGCACGUCUCCUGAAUGACCAACGCUGUGCAGAUGGAAAGUGCACACAGCUAAUGAGUGCCAUUACGUCUCACCCCUCUGGUUCAAAAUGAGGACAGGACCAUCAUCACCUCCCAGCCUUCGCAAUGCUGCUCGUGUAAAGGGGGGUCGAGAGGAGGGCCCAAUGCAUCCCACACCAAGAGCAUCGCCACGUGGGAUCACGCAGCAGCCGGACCCCAAACGUCCCCUCUUCCCAAAAUCAGCCUGGAUGCGUUUCUGAGAAGAGCGCGGUCCCCUUGACUUUGUCCUUACAACAUCGGCAGUGAAUCCUGCAGCCUCCACCCUCGCUCCUCUCGCAGAGCAGCCAAUUGGCAGCGGAUCAAUGCAGGAGAGAGUCAGCAGGAGGGCAGCGAGAUGAAUUAUUUCCCUCUGGGAGGCGGAGGGCAGAGCCCAGAGCUGCCCCACAGCCCGCAGGCAGGGCGCUUAUAGGGCGAGCAUCGGGAUGGAAGCAGCGUGGCAGGAUGUGUUUCGCUGCGUCCCCCCGCACCCCACGCGUGGCCGUAAGGGCGAUUAGCUCGGUUAAUUUAGCCCCGGGUUGAGGGUGGAAGACAACGUGGAGGCUCCCCGCCCAUCUGCAAAGGGCUUUGGGUCGGGAACCACAUCUACAGGGGAACGCUCGUGCAGGGAAAUGUGAAUUAGCAGAGGCUUUGAGUCGAGAGUGCAUUAAUUUAAAGUGCGCUGGAAGCGCAUGCAAAAUGCAUGCAAAGUGCACUCUGCUCGGAACGAAAGCACUCCUCGGUCAAUGGGAAGUGAUUUACUGCCUCUCCCUCGGCGGUCGGGGCAGAAUCCAUCUCUCCUUCCCGCAGGUUGCUGAGCCGAACCGGGUCGGGAAGAGCAUCGCCCUCCGAGGGAGCGACUCCCCGCACAUCCCCGGCUUACGGGACGCAGCGCCGCGCUUCCCGGCUGCGGGGGGAGGACGGGCAGGGAGAGGUGCUGAGAGACGGCAGGGAUGGGAGGAGAAGGGAAAGGUGCGCUCGGAUUUAAACGCACGGCGUCCCGCGGCCCGGCGCAGCCUUCGUUUGCAGAGAGGGCCGACGGCCGUGCGGGCGCUGCAGAGCUCCGGCGGCGCUGCAAAGUAGAGGUGCGGUGUUGAAAGGAGCUGAGUGCCGCCAGUUGGGCUUAAAGCCCGAAGAGCUGAGCUUGCAAUGGUGUCCCUCCUGAAAUAGGUGGGUUGGAGAGUGCCAAAAGGCCGUCAAAAGCCCCCUGGUUUGGGGCUUGCGUCGCGUCGGGUGGCACCGCCUGUUUCUCCGCCACGAGGGAAAUGCCCAUAGGGGGUAUUUGGGCCUUUUUGGUGAUGAAAGCCAAUGGGUGUGAGCAGCAGCAGCAAAUCCCUGCUGUGAGGGAGCGGCCAAAAAGCGAGCAGAGGUGAAGCAAAGCUGCACGGCGCCGAAAGCGAACCCUGGGGAGGAAAAGGGUGGAAAAUAGUUGAGCUCUCCUCGAGUUCAGUGUGAAAUCCACUGAUCCACCGGCGGGGCUGAGCUCCCCCAUGCAGGGCUGGGGCUGUGAGCUGCCUGUCUGGGAUUGCCAGCAGAGCGAGCAAAAGCAAUUAACCUAACGAGCAGCGUGGCUCCUGUAGGAAGGAUGCAGGGCGCGGAGCUCGGGGUUUUAAAUCAAUCUCGUGGUGGUGAAGGAUGGGAGAGAUGAGCGCGGCCCCGGAAAGGAGAUGCUGCUUAAUGAGCCCUCGAGAUGUGCUUUUAAGCAGUGUCCUUCCAGAUGGGAUGAGAUGAGUGUUAAACCACGGGAAGGGGUCGGAGUGUUUGGGGGGGUUCCCACCAACGGGGGAUCCGUGCCAGUCCUCUCCAUUGACUCCAGAGGGAGUCGGGAUGGGCAGAGAGAAGAGGGCAGAACCAAUUGGGUCGGGAUGGGACCCUCAAAGGGCACCGGGUCUGACCCCAGGGGUGGGUUUGUGCCCCAUAUAGCACCAGGUCUGACCCCCAGGGACGGAUUUGUGCCCCAUAUAGCACCAGGUCUGACCCCAGGGGUGGGUUUGUGCCCCACGCAGCACCAGAUCUGACCCCCCAGGGAUGGAUUUGUGCCCCAAUGGCCUUUCCCAGGGAUGCACUGAGGUUCCCAUGUUGCUCCCCCAGAGCAUCCCCCAUUGGCACUGCUGGGUCGGGGCCUCCCACCCCCUCCCACCCCAUCCCACUGACCCCACCCUCACCAAUAGGACACCUUCACCCCCCCCCAUUUGGGACUAUUCUCCCCCAAAACACGAGGUUCCCCAUCACCUCCUCUCACCAUCCUGGACCCCCCAGGCGAUGAGGGGCCGCAGCUCCCACCGCCCCGAGCCCCAGAAGUCUAUUUAUUACUCACAGCAAUUAAUAAAGGGCGGGAGGCAGACGAGCAUCUCUCCUGCCUGUUGCUUAAUUAGUGCUCUGCUGGCGGGAGGCGAGGAGGAGGCAGAGGCUGCAGGCAGCUCGCUCGCCCACGACGCGUAAUGAAAGCAGCACAACCCUUCGCGUUAUUUAAUCUAAUAGGAGAAUUAAUAUCUGGAUGGAGGGCGAUCGCUUCUGCUCUUCAGAUGGGGGCACGCAGCGAGGAAGGGGGGGGGGGGGGGACGACACCCAGGGAUGCGCCAUCCAUCUUGCUUACCCCCAAAAUGCCAUUGGAUUGCAUGGUGGUGGUGGCUGUCGGCGGCCUUUUGGGGUCUUUUCUCCCCUUUUUGGCUCAGCGCAGUGAUUGAAACCCACUCCCCACCCUUCCCACGCUGGGUAAAGCCCCCCCCCCCCCCACCCCGAUCUCAACGAGGAGCACUGGAAGGGCUGCUGUCUGUCCAUGCGUGGAGUCUCCCCGGGCUGGGUGACAAAUGGCCCCUGUGACAGUAAUGGCAAAAUUAGAAGCUGCAUCGCCGUCCCCUCCGCCCGCAGCCCGCGCUGCGCUGCGCUCCUCCCCAACACGCAGUGCAAAGAAAGGUCAGCGGGCGCCUCGCAUGUUAAUGCAUGGAGAUGGGGGGGGGGGGG
ensembl:lncRNA